CAGUAGGCAUGGUGACAGCUGCUACAUGCUAGGGCAACACUUACUCCAGGGCCUGGCCAAACACCUGCAAUCAUACAAUGGGGGGUGCUUCCUUCUCAUGAGGGGCAAGGAUGAGGAACAAAGCCAAAAUUACAUUGAGCUCUUUUCUUAGGCUCCUGUGACCUUAAUGAGCCUAAGCAGGUCAGUGAGGUAGGUGACAGUGUCAAGUGCCCACGAGGCCUGUAGACUGGUUCUCCAAAAGCUGUAAACAGAAUAAAGUGGAGCGGAUAACGAUGGGGACCUCAGAGCUCACUCAGUCAAGGUCACACUCCAAUGACCACUGUGGACACUGAGAAGAUCAUUCAUUUACAUUCUGCUUAGCUCUAGAGUUGACCAAGCGCUGGCUCCUUCAUGGACCGCCAGGAAAGGGGACUUGGACAACACCUAAGAAAGACAAAUAGCUACCAAAGGCUGAAGGAAAAACAACAACAACAACCAACCUCAACUUAUCAACUGUCCUUCCUCAUCUCUGAGGUUUUGACCCAUCAGAGCCAGGCAGCAGGGGGAGGAGAAAUGCCUUCCGGCCAUGCUGCCAUCAGGAAAGGCAGAAUGGGGGCGGCUGAGGAUGCGGACAUGUCUAUCUCCUAUGAACAUGGCACCGGGCUCCAUGCUACUUCCUAUCCCACUGCUGUCUGGUUCAGCCUCCAUUUUCUCCUGAUGAGCAACAAGAACGGUUGAUGACAUCAGCAGUUUCUACGCUUUCCUAAGGAGCCACUUACCAAAUACAGUCUCACGUAGAGCACAUCACAUAGCGUAAAGACAAAGCCGACCCCGCCUAACAUAACCAGGAGAUGGGCAAGCUUCUCACCGUCUGCCAGGAGAUGUUUGAAACUCUCAAGAAUGAGCAGCACUUGUCCCCUGCGGAAGAGAGGGCACAGACAUCACUGUAACGUCCAGCGUACACAGGAAGAAAACAGAGCUUGUGGUCAAUAACAGGAUUUGUAGGAUGGGGAUUCCCAGCCAGCAGGGACAGCCAUCUUGAAGACACUCGAGAACUCUGUGAGGACUGCCAGGAUGCUCUUUGAACAUGACUUUGGUGAUCUGUGGGCAUCUCUGCCCCUCUCCCACAUCACCAGUGUUUAUUAACAUCAUGGGUUUAAAAAAAUCUUUUCUAAUUUGA
rnacentral:lncRNA from 1 species